CUUGCCGUGUGUCGGUUCCUCUCUCAACUGGGGAGGGCUCAUCAAAGUGUUUUCUCAGCAUCCAGCUGCAGACACGGGGAGUCUGUCAGCAUUCUUGCUGGGUGGGUGUCUUCUGAAGGCAUCUGCAUUAUGCGACCCUGUUUAUACACGGAGCCAACUUUCAGCUGCAAGGAUGCUGAAUAGACCUGCUGCAGCUGCUGAGAGCGCGGCCUGGGCUGGCACGAGGGGGAGAAAUGAUGGAAGCGAUGAAGAUACACCACGAUGUCUGCGACAGAGUCUCUCAUUAGCACUGGUGGCUGCCUUAUUCAAAGCAUGUAUAGCUUCUCUCAAGCAGAAGGCAUUUUGUGUACUUUUCAAGGGUUUUCAACAAAGCAGUAAGAAUUGUGAAGCGUUUUUGAAAGUUCCUUAGGAAUGGUUGCCGUGUUGGAAAUCGGAUUGGGUUUUUUUUUUUCCAGUGCAAGCAUGUUCGUUAUCUGAUCUCUCUUUUCCUUCCCUUCCUUGACUUUUUUCCUGCUUUUUCUCAAUAGGCUUAUUGUCUGCACACUUACAAACAUAUGUUUUUAAGAGCUCCCUUCCAGCCUAAUAUUACUGCUCACCUUACUGACCUGCUGUCACUGGUCAAAGAGAAAAUCACCUAAGUAUUCUUUUUCACGGGAGUGAGAGGAUGUCUUAAUGAAUGCUUUCCUGUCUGUUUAAUCAUUAAACAUACGUUACCACCAUUGUGUCUUUAUAGCUUCUGUCUGCCUAGCACAGGAUAAAGUGGUGAAAUCCAUACUUGAGAUUUUGCAGGUGCUUUUAGAUAUCAUUAAGAAUCAUCAAUAUGCGAGACAAUGCUGCACAACACUCUUUCUUUUGCUAGGAUUGGAAAUGGUGUCCGUCGUUGGUUGCCAGAGCUGUCAGAUAACUGUAGGUCAGCAGAAUCAUAGAAUCACAUUGAAUCAGAGAAUCACUGAGGUUGGAAAAGACGUCCAAGAUCAUCCAGUCCAGCUGACCGCCUAUCACCAAUACUUCCCACUAAACCAUGUC
ensembl:lncRNA